CUCUCUGGCCUCCAGGGCCUUGUACAUGGUAGGCUUUCACCCCUCGGUUGCUUAGCCGGUGAAGGCCUACUGUGUACCAGGCCCUGUGCCAGACUUCAAGUGGACGGA
ensembl:miRNA